GUGGAUUAGAUACCCUAGUAGUCCACGCCGUAAACGAUGAGUGCUAAGUGUUAGAGGGUUUCCGCCCUUUAGUGCUGCAGCUAACGCAUUAAGCACUCCGCCUGGGGAGUACGGUCGCAAGACUGAAACUCAAAGGAAUUGACGGGGGCCCGCACAAGCGGUGGAGCAUGUGGUUUAAUUCGAAGCAACGCGAAGAACCUUACCAGGUCUUGACAUCCCACUGCCCGGUAUAGAGAUAUACCUUUCCCUUCGGGGACAGUGGUGACAGGUGGUGCAUGGUUGUCAUCAGCU
rnacentral:rRNA from 1 species